rnacentral:lncRNA from 10 species
CUUGGCAUUCCAGGCAACGGAAGAGCCUGAAUGUGUCCUGACUUCUUGCUUAGCAAAAUUGGAUCACCCUGCACUUUGGGAGGCCGAGGCGGGCGGAUCACGAGGUCAGGAGAUCGAGACCAUCCCAGCUAAAACGCCUGAUUAUAGUAACUGGCUCUGAAUUGCUGCUUCUGCUCAACUUCCUGGAUGCUAGCAGUACCCAGGGAUGUAAAGACCUUUCAACUAGAGCUCAUAGCAGGCCCUUGUGUCUGAGAAUGACUGCUUCUGUGAUCUGAUGAGCACACGUGGUGUGCAUCCAGUGGCUCUGCUCUUAAACUAGGCCCAUGACUACCAACAGUCAUUCUUCCUGGGCUGCUGAGACCAGAAAAUAAAAGUGCCUUCCAAAGGGUUCACAGAUGCAGAGGAAUUUUGCCUCAGGAUGAAUUGCAUCUUCAGUCUCACCCAAACCUGAUUUAGAUAAUAUUUCAAUGAGACUUCGGACUUCAGACUUUACAGUUGAUGCUGCAACCAGUUAAGGCUUUUGGGAUUGUCGGAAUGGAAUGAAUGUAUUUUGCAUGUGAGAAGAACAUGAAGUGUGGGGGGGCCAUGGGCAGAAUAUUAUGGAUUGCAUGAUUUUGUCUCCCCAGAAUACAUAUGUUGAAAUUCUAAUCCCCAAUGUGAUGGUAUUAUGUGGUGGGAACUUUGGGAGGUAAUUAGGUUAUGAGGGUGGAGACCUCAUGUAAAGGAUUAGUGCCCUUAUAAGAAGAAACACAAGAGCUUGCUUCCUCUCUCUGCUCUCCACUAUGUGAAGAUAGAACAAGAAGAUGGCCAUCUGCAAACCAGGAAGAGAGCCCUCAUCAGACACUGGAUCUGCCAG